UACAGAGGUGGCAAGCGUUGUUCGGAAUUACUGGGCGUAAAGGGCGCGUAGGCGGCCCGUCAAGUCCCGUGUGAAAGCCCCCGGCUCAACCGGGGAACUGCACGGGAAACUAGCAGGCUUGAGUUCGGGAGAGGGAAGCGGAAUUUCGGGUGUAGCGGUGAAAUGCGCAGAUAUCCGAAGGAACACCGGUGGCGAAAGCGAGCUGCUGGAUCCCUCCUGACGCUGAGGCGCGAAAGCCAGGGGAGCGAACGGG
rnacentral:rRNA from 1 species